GCCUCUCCCGCUGGGGCGCGCUCAGGUCCAGGCUUCAGUAGGAGGGCGUCGGGGACCCCGGGCGCACGCGCAGAGAGCGCUGUACGGUGGGAGGGGCCGUGUGGGCGGCGGGGUCUCCAUCUUCCUCCCCUGAGGCAGCGCGGACCCGGCUCAGCCGACGCAGCUGCAGAGCCCCAGACUGGCCUGGCAGGCCCAGCGUCGCCCCCUCCGCAGUGAACGGCGUCGCCCAAGUAUCUGAGAAGUGUUGUUGCCUGUUGAGCCCUGGCUUUCCCGCGUCUUGUGGCCGAUUCUGCGGGACCGAGCCGCGCAGACUCGUUUCUGGUUCCCCGCAGCGCUUUCCGUUAGAAUUGUCUGCCGUGGUGGAAAUGUCGCGCUUCGGCACUGGCCAGGUGGCUGUUGAGUCCUGGUCUGUGCCCAACUUGGCUUUGUCCGCAGCGGUACUGCUUUGUGUUUGUAGAUGCUUCAGGCUGAGGUUUCUGGGAACUGAGUAUUCUUAGGCAGAUUUGGGGCCCCGAUUAAACUUCUAGCAAAAGCGAGUUUGUCUCACAGGCUGUAUUGGACAAAGCAACUCUACCAAGUGAGAAGGAACCAGAAUCUCACCGGGAAGUCCUCUCAGCUCCAAAAUCUGUCGUUGGAGACCUAUCAGCUUCAAAGAGGCCGAAGAGAUCCAGAAGGGAGCGUAUUGCCCCGGGCCGAGGCCUGAGUGACUGCACUACAUUCGGAAGCCAUUACAGACUGUAACUUUUUGAAGAAUAGGUUUUUAUGCUCUUAGAAAGACAUCAGAAAAUGAACAAGUCCCAGGAUCUAGUUUGGGCCACUAAGAAGGAUAUUUCAUCAGUUUGAAAAGAGCCUCUCUCAGAGCAAGAUGAAUUCUGCUAAAAUUGAAGCAAGAACAAACAUCAAAUUUAUGGUGAAGCUUGGGUGGAAGAAUGGUGAAAUCAUUGAUGCUUUACAAAAAGUUUAUGGGGACAGUGCCCCAAAGAAAUCAGCAGUUUACAAAUGGGUAACUCGUUUUAAGAAGGGGCGAGAUGAUGUUGAAGAUGAUGUCCGCAGUGGUAGACCAUCCACAUCAAUUUGUGAGGAAAAAAUUAAUCUUGUUCGUGCCCUAAUUGAAGAGGACCAACGAUUAACAGCAGAAACAAUAGCCAACACCAUAGACAUCUCAACUGGUUCAGCGUACACAAUUCUGACAGAGAAAUUAAAGUUGAGAAAAUUUUCUGCUCGAUGGGUGCCAAAACUGUUAUGUCCAGGUCAACUACAGCCAAAAGAAGAGCCUUCAAUGGAAAUUUUAAACAAGUGGGAUCAAGAUCCUGGAGCAUUUCUUUGAAGAAUUGUAAUGGGAGAUAACACAUGGCCUUAGCACUGUGAUCUUGAAGACAAAGCACAAUCAAAGCAUUGGCUACCACGAAGUGGAAGUGGCCCACUGAAAGUAAAAGCAGACACGUCAAGAGCAAAGAUCAUGGCAAGUUGUUUGGGAUACUUAAAGCAUUUUGCUUGUUGAUUUUCUGGAGGGCCAAAGGAUAAUAACAUCUUAUUAUGAGAGUGUUUUGAGAAAGUUAGCCAAAGCUUUAGAAGAAAACACUUAGGAAAGCUUCACCAGAGUCCUUCUUCAUCACAAUGAUAUUCUUGUUCAUUCUUCUAAUCAAAGAAGGGCAAUUUUCUAGUUUUGGUGAAAAAUUAUGAGGCAUCUACCUUGCUUUGGUUCCUUCUGGCUUCUUUUUGUUUCUUAAUCUUAAAAAAUUUUUAAAGGGCACCCAUUUUUUCUUCAGUUACUAAUAUAAAAAAAAAAAACUGCUUUGACAUUAUUAAAUUUCCAAGACCUUAAUUUAGGAAUGGACUAAACAGCUGGUAUUGAUCCUUAUGAAAGUAUCUUGAACUUGAUGAAGCUUAUGAGAAAUAAAAUUUAUAUUUUUUAUUUUUACCUUUUUUUUUCUUUUAUUAUUAUUUUUUUAUUG